UUGGAGGGCAAGUCUGGUGCCAGCAGCCGCGGUAAUUCCAGCUCCAAUAGCGUAUAUUAAAGUUGUUGCAGUUAAAAAGCUCGUAGUUGAAUUUUAGGCCUGGCCGGGCGGUCCGUCUUUGGCGAGUACUGUCUUGUUGUCGGGUCUUCCUUCUGGUGAACCAGCAUGUCCUUAAUUGGGUGUGUUGGGGAGCCAGGACCAUUACCUUGAAAAAAUUAGAGUGUUUAAAGCGGGCUAUUGCUUGAAUAGAUUAGCAUGGAAUAAUAGAAUAGGACGUUGUGGUUCUAUUUUGUUGGUUUCUAGGACCACCGUAAUGAUUAAUAGGGAUAGUGGGGGGCAUUAGUAUUCAAUUGUCAGAGGUGAAAUUCUUGGACUUAUUGAAGACUAACUACUGCGAAAGCAUUUGCCAAGGAUGUUUUCAUUAAUCAAGAACGAAAGUUAGGGGAUCGAAGACGAUCAGAUACCGUCGUAGUCUUAACCAUAAACUAUGCCGACUAGGAAUCGGACGAUGUUAAUUUUUCUUGACUCGUUCGGCGCCUUACGGGAAAC
rnacentral:rRNA from 1 species